UAGUACUAGUAGGUACUAUUAGUAUUAUUACUACUAGUACUAGUACUACUAAUAUGUACUACAAGUAGUAGUACGUACUACUAGUACUAG
rnacentral:tRNA from 1 species